CUGCCCUUUGUACACACCGCCCGUCGCUACUACCGAUUGAAUGGCUCAGUGAGGCGUCCGGACUGGCCCAGAGAGGUGGGCAACUACCACUCAGGGCCGGAAAGCUCUCCAAACUCGGUCAUUUAGAGGAAGUAAAAGUCGUAACAAGGUCUCCGUUGGUGAACCAGCGGAGGGAUCAUUACCGAGUUUACAACUCCCAAACCCCUGUGAACAUACCACUUGUUGCCUCGGCGGAUCAGCCCGCUCCCGGUAAAACGGGACGGCCCGCCAGAGGACCCCUAAAACUCUGUUUCUAUAUGUAACUUCUGAGUAAAACCAUAAAUAAAUCAAAACUUUCAACAACGGAUCUCUUGGUUCUGGCAUCGAUGAAGAACGCAGCAAAAUGCGAUAAGUAAUGUGAAUUGCAGAAUUCAGUGAAUCAUCGAAUCUUUGAACGCACAUUGCGCCCGCCAGUAUUCUGGCGGGCAUGCCUGUUCGAGCGUCAUUUCAACCCUCAAGCACAGCUUGGUGUUGGGACUCGCGUUAAUUCGCGUUCCUCAAAUUGAUUGGCGGUCACGUCGAGCUUCCAUAGCGUAGUAGUAAAACCCUCGUUACUGGUAAUCGUCGCGGCCACGCCGUUAAACCCCAACUUCUGAAUGUGACCUCGGAUCAGGUAGGAAUACCCGCUGAACUUAAG
rnacentral:rRNA from 1 species